rnacentral:misc_RNA from 1 species
GAUGAAGAACGUAGCGAAAUGCGAUAAGUAAUGUGAAUUGCAGAAUUCAGUGAAUCAUCGAAUCUUUGAACGCACAUUGCGCCCGCCAGUAUUCUGGCGGGCAUGCCUGUCUGAGCGUCAUUUCAACCCUCAUGCCCCUAGGGCGUGGUGUUGGGGAUCGGCCAAAGCCCGCGAGGGACGGCCGGCCCCUAAAUCUAGUGGCGGACCCAUCGUGGCCUCCUCUGCGAAGUAGUGAUAUUCCGCAUCGGAGAGCGAUGAGCCCCUGCCGUUAAACCCCCAACUUUCCAAGGUUGACCUCAGAUCAGGUAGGAAUACCCGCUGAACUUAAGCAUAUCAAUAAGCGGAGGA